ensembl:lncRNA novel transcript
AGUCUGGAUUUUGUUUUUCACUGUGCUUUGUCUCUCUUACCCAACCAAGCAAGCUCAGUAAUUAAAAGGCAGUAACAACUUGUAGAUUUUUAAGUACUUUCACUGACAGUAUUUUGUGUGAUUUUUAUGACAAUCAUGUAAAGUAUGUAUUUUGUCCACAGUCAGAUAAGGAAACAACAGCAGCUCAAAGACAAGAAGACAUUCUUCUAUGAACUUACGGAAGACAAGAUAAAAUUCCCGCCUUGGUAUCCACAUGGAAUCCAGGAAACCUGUGCAUCUGAUGGUUUGAUACACCCUUUUGUCAUCAAUUCUUAGUUACUAUGCAUAGUCUACUGAUAAUUGUUCAUUGUGUACUUUUCGUUACUUAAAAUUCUUCAAAUCACCCUAAGACAUUUACUCCAGAGCAAUUGGCCAUGACCUGAAGAUCUACAAGCUCAUACAAACAUCUUCCUACAGCUCGUACAAAGAGUCCUGUGAGAUGCCACCAAUUGUAUCAGAUUCCCCACCUUAGGAAUCAACUCAUAUCUAUAUUAUACCAUCCGGCAGAUGGGAAGAAUUUAAUAAAUGUUUGUUAAAUAAA